AAGAAGCCAAACAUGGUCAUGCGCUCCGCAUGAAUUCUCAAUCAUAAGAAGGUAUUCCGACCCUAUCUUGCUUGAAAUCUUCAAAAGUAGUGUGUUUUUAGAAGUAUUCAGCACAGGUGCGACAACAUUUUGGAGAGUCCGAGCAACAUAGUUCUGACAAAAAGAUACUGAGGAAACAACAAUGGAUAUAUAAUAGCAAAGGAAGGAUUAUUUUUUCUGUCAUUUGUACAGGAGAGGUGAAAAAAUAGAAGGAUAAAUUUCUUGGAGCUUUACAGAUAUAUUUUUGUUGAAUCUUGAAAAUAAAAAAAGCUCUAUAUAGUGGCUGUAUAUGCAAAUAU
rnacentral:misc_RNA from 1 species